AAUAUUAUUAGCCUAGUGGACAUGGCAUCUGCCCGGUAAGCUGAACACUGUGGGUUCGAUUCCCAUCCUCGGACACUUUUAUUU
rnacentral:tRNA from 1 species